GACGAACGCUGGCGGCGUGCUUAACACAUGCAAGUCGAACGAGGGAAUUGAAAGCUUGCUUUUGAAACCCGAGUGGCAAACGGGUGAGUAACGCGUAGGCAACCUGCCGUUGAGAUGGGGACAACAUCCCGAAAGGGGUGCUAAUACCGAAUGUUGUGAGAGCUUCGCAUGGAGCUUUCACUAAAGAUGACCUCUCCUUGGAAGUUAUCGCUCAACGAUGGGCCUGCGUCUGAUUAGCUAGUUGGUGGGGCAACGGCCUACCAAGCCGACGAUCAGUAGCCGGUCGUGAGAGGAUGAACGGCCACACUGGAACUGAGACAGGUCCAGGACUCCUACGGGAGGCAGCAGUGGGAACUUCCGCAACUGGGCGAAAGUCUGACGGAGCAACGCCG
rnacentral:rRNA from 1 species